rnacentral:rRNA from 1 species
CAGCCGCCACGGUAAAACGAAGGGUGCAAGCGUUAAUCGGAAUUACUGGGCGUAAAGCGUGCGUAGGCGGUGAGUUAAGUCUGCUGUGAAAUCCCCGGGCUCAACCUGGGAAUGGCAGUGGAUACUGGCUCGCUAGAGUGUGUCAGAGGAUGGUGGAAUUCCCGGUGUAGCGGUGAAAUGCGUAGAGAUCGGGAGGAACAUCAGUGGCGAAGGCGGCCAUCUGGGACAACACUGACGCUGAGGCACGAAAGCGUGGGGAGCAAACAGGAUUAGAUACCCCGGUAGUCCCUGUCUCUUAUAC